CGGACGGGUGAGUAACACGUGGAUAACCUACCUAUAAGACUGGGAUAACUUCGGGAAACCGGAGCUAAUACCGGAUAAUAUAUUGAACCGCAUGGUUCAAUAGUGAAAGACGUUUUUGCUGUCACUUAUAGAUGGAUCCGCGUCGCAUUAGCUAGUUGGUAAGGUAACGGCUUACCAAGGCAACGAUGCGUAGCCGACCUGAGAGGGUGAUCGGCCACACUGGAACUGAGGCACGGUCCAG
rnacentral:rRNA from 1 species